rnacentral:lncRNA from 1 species
GAGUUAGGUGGUGUUGAGGUUGAUUGGACAGUAUGGAUGGUGGAAGGAAUUGAUUGACUUGAAGGACAUGAAGAUGCAAGGCUAGUGCAAGAAACCAUGUGUGAAGCCAGUGCAUUUGGAGGCACAUGUAAAGGUCACCAACGCCUUCUCGAACAAUUUAUAAAAUAAGAAUGGGUGGGAGGAAACUGAAGACAAUUUUACAUCCUUGUGACUAGAAAGGAGAUGUGAGCUAAGAAGAGAGUUCAAGCAUGACCAAAUGAAGCAGAGGCUAGCAGCCCAGGCAACAAUACUCCUUCCUUGGUAGGUAAUGACAUUAUAAUGAGUAACUGCAGACAAACAAAGUCAGCAGUUCUUAGACACAGAGCAGCACCUAAUGCAGCAAGUAGUACCUAGGGGAAGGUCUGGGGAGGAGUUUUAAAGGGGUUUCUAAGAUAGGAAAGCGUGAAGUCUUAUUAUUGUACAGAAAGAUUGU